rnacentral:rRNA from 1 species
AAGCAGGGGAUCGUAAGACCUUGCGCUUUUGGAGUGGCCGAUGCCUGAUUAGCUAGUUGGUGGGGUAAGGGCCUACCAAGGCAACGAUCAGUAGUUGGUCUGAGAGGACGACCAGCCACACUGGGACUGAGACACGGCCCAGACUCCUACGGGAGGCAGCAGUGGGGAAUUUUGGACAAUGGGCGGAAGCCUGAUCCAGCAAUGCCGCGUGAGUGAAGAAGGCCUUCGGGUUGUAAAGCUCUUUCAGUCGGGAAGAAAAGGUUGCGACUAAUAAUCGCAAUUUAUGACGGUACCGACAGAAGAAGCACCGGCUAACUACGUGCCAGCAGCCGCGGUAAUACGUAGGGUGCGAGCGUUAAUCGGAAUUACUGGGCGUAAAGGGUGCGCAGGCGGCUCUGUAAGUCAGAUGUGAAAUCCCCGGGCUUAACCUGGGAAUUGCGUUUGAAACUACAAGACUAGAGU